AUCCAGUUGACGAGUCCUAAAUGGGACAAAACGACCGUCCUGGAU
rnacentral:hammerhead_ribozyme from 1 species